rnacentral:rRNA from 1 species
GACGAACGCUGGCGGCGUGCCUAACACAUGCAAGUCGAGCGGGGUUGAAGCGAGAGGUAACUCGAACUUCUACCUAGCGGCGGACGGGUGAGUAACGCGUGGGCAACCUGCCUCAAGGUCUGGGAUAACAGCCCGAAAGGGCUGCUAAUACUGGGUAUGCUUGUGGCCUCGCAUGGGGCUAUGAGCAAAGGGGAAACCCGCCUUGAGAUGGGCCCGCGUCCCAUCAGCUAGUUGGUGAGGUAACAGCUCACCAAGGCGACGACGGGUAGCCGGCCUGAGAGGGUGACCGGCCACACUGGGACUGAGACACGGCCCAGACUCCUACGGGGGGCAGCAGUGGGGGAUCUUGCACAAUGGGCGAAAGCCUGAUGCAGCGACGCCGCGUGAGCGAAGAAGGCCUCGGUUGUAAAGCUCUGUCUGGAGGGACGAAGGAAGUGACGGUACCUCCGGAGGAAGCCACGGCUAACUACGUGCCAGCAGCCGCGGUAAUAGUCACGUCGCG